AUCCUUCUUGGUCAUACACAUGAUGAUUGGUCAUCUCAUGAACUUUUAUAAUAUGUGCUGCCUCCUUGUUAUGCUAAGCACAAGACCCAUCUGAUA